rnacentral:rRNA from 1 species
CAAAGGUGUAAAAACUUAGCCCUAAGGCUAUUUGGUUUUGGUAGCAUAAAGGACAAUAGGCCUAACUAGCAGUAGAUAAUUUAUUUAAAUAUUCUAGAACAAAUUUUUGUUUAGAUUUCGUUAGUAGUGCAUAUUUCUCUAUAAGUGAAAGCUUGAUUAGGAGGUCUAUUAAAAUAAGGGGCGAAUACAUAGUGCCAGCAGCUGCGGUUAUACUUGAUCUUUUCCUUUAAGCUAGGGUAAAAUGGAAAUAAUUUGAUAUUAAGAAAAUAAAUAUUAGCAUAUGGAGGAAUAAGCUUAUGAAUCAAACAUACUUUUUAUAAAUAAAUUCCUAAAGUUAGAUUAAAAACUAAGAUUAGGCACCUUAUUAUUCUAAACAUAAAUUUUUAGACCCAUAGUAGUAGAAGUCUCGAAAUUAAAAAGACCUGGCGGCAGCCUUACUCACCGGGGGAGCGUGACGCAUAAUAGAUAACCCGCGUUAUAAUUAACCUUUUUUACUUAGUUAGUGUACGGCCGUUUUCAGCCUAGCUCUGCAGAGCAUAGACUUAGGUAUUACUGUUGUAGUUAAGACAGGUCAUUGUGCUGCUUAUAAAAAGGUGUUAGUUUCGCUAUUUUGAUUGGAAAAAGGGAAAAGCUUUUGUAAUAAGGCUUAGAAUUAAGACUCGGCAGUAAUGGGGAACUAUUUAGUCCCCAUGAAGGUAAAUUUUUCUAAACACACAUACUUACUAUUUUAAUUAUGACUACUUGAACGAGAAAGCAUAGCUUAGUAGCCGUAAUUGGCAGAUGGAUUGUG